rnacentral:lncRNA from 1 species
UCAUAGCAUAUGGAGGUUCCCAGGCUAGGGGUCUAAUCGGAACUGUAGCUGCCAGCCUAUGCCAGAGCCACAGCAAUGCAGGAUCUAAGCUGCAUCUGUGACCUACACCACAGCUCACAGCAACACCAGAUCCUUAACCCACUGAACGAGGCCAGGGAUCAAACCCACAACCUCAUGGUUCCUAGUCGGAUUCGUUAACCACUGAGCCAUAAAGGGAACUCCUCCCAUUUUACAUUCUUAUAAAAAUAUGUAUUUAUAUUUUUUCCAUUCUAUAUUUUUGUGAUCUUCCUUUGUUGAAGAUUAAGUGAACAUAGGUGUCUGGGUUUAUGUCUGGGUUUGCUAUUCUUUUCCAUUAGUCUGUAUGUCUGUUUUUGGUACCAGUACUACACUGUCUUGAUGACUGUGACUUUGUAAUAUUGCCUAAAGUCUGGGAGAAUUAUGACUCCUGCUUAGUUUUUGUUCCUCAGGAUUGCUUUGGCAAUUCUGGGUUUUUUGUGGUUCCAUAUAAAUUUUGGGAUUAUUUGUUUUAGUUCUGUGAAAAAUGUCAUGGGCAACUUGGUAGGGAUUGCACUGAAUCUGUAGGUUACUUUGGGUAGCAUGGCCAUUUUUACAGUAUUAAUCUUUCCAACCCAGGAGCAUGGAAUAUCUUUCCAUUUAUUUGAAUCCUCUUUAAUUUCCUUGAUUAAUGUUUUAUAGUUCCUCAGCAUAUGUCUUUCACUUCCUUGGUCAGGUUUUUUCCCAGGUAUUUGAUUUUUUGGGGUGCAAUUUUAAAAGGUAUUGUAUUUUUAUAUUCCUUUUCUAAUAUUUCAUUGUUAGUAUACAGAAAUAUGACUGAUUUCUGAAUGUUAAUCUUGUAUUCUGCUACUUUGCUGAAUUCAUUGAUCAGUUGGAGUAGUUUUGGAGUUAAUUCCUUACAGUUUUCUAUAUAUAAUAUCAUGUAAUCUGCAGACAGUGACAAUUUUACCUCUUCUCCUCCAAUGUAGAUGCCUUUUAUUUUUGUUUGUCCAAUUGCUGUGGCUAGUACUUCCAACACUAUGUUGAAUAAAAGUGGUGAGAGUGGGAUUCCUUGUCUUGUUCCAGAUUUUAGUGGGAAGGCUUUCAGCUUUUCCCCAGUGAGUAUUGUAUCUGCUGUGGGUCUGUCAUAAAUGGCUUUUAUUAUGUUAAGGUAUGUUCGCUCUAUACCUACUUUGGUAAGUUUUUAUCAUGAAUGGAUGUUAGACUUUGUCAAAUGCUUUUUCUCCAUCUAUUGAGAUGAUCAUAUGGUUGACUUUUGUUAAUGUGGCAUACGAUGUUGAUUGAUUUGCAUAUGUUGAACCAUCUGUGUGAACCUGGGAUGAAUCCCACUUGGUCAUAGUGUAUGAUCUUUUUUAUAUGUUGUUGGAUUCGGUUGGCUAAAAUUUUGUUGAGAAUUUUUGCGUCUAUAUUCAUCAAAUGUAUUGGCCAUUAAUUUUCUUUUUUGGUAGUAUCUUUGUCUGGUUUUGGUACUAGGGUGAUGGUGGCAUCAUACAAUGUCUUUGGGAGUGUUCCUUCUUAUCCUUCUUCUUCAACUUUUUGGAAAAGUUUAAGGCGGAUGGGUAUAAGUUCCUCUUUGUAUAUUUGGUAGAAUUUGCCUGUGAAGCCAUCUGGUCCUGGACUUUUAUUUGUAGGGAGUGUUUUUAUUACAUAUUCAAUUUCAUUUCUAGCGACUGGUCUGUUCAGUUGAUCUAUUUCUUCUUGGUUCAGUUUUGGUGGGCUGUGAGUCUCUAGAAAGUUGUUCAUUUCUUCUAAGUUGUCAAAUUUGUUGGCAUAUAAUUGUUCAUAGUAUUUAAGCUUUCUAAGGCAGCACCUUUUUACUUUUUUUUAAGUGUCUACAGUUGACUCAUGAACAACCAAGAAGACAAGCACUGCCAUGUGUCCCAGGUACCAUGAGAGGAGAAGCCAAUGAUGUUUUGGGCACAGGUGAAGGAGCAGUCAGUUGAGGUGGGGAAGAGUACAAACAGGAAAAGCUUCCAUUGCCUGGUUUCCCACUCGCAGCAGACAGGGAAGAGCACAUUUUCCUAUACACUAGUUCUUUUCCAAUAGCUGGGAAUUCCUUAUGUAAAACUGCAAAGCUAGUACUAGGGACUUUUUAAUUCUAGAAGACACACUUCAGAGCAAGAUUUUAAAACAAAUGCAAAUGCCCAAUUACAAGUUAAUCCUUUUCUGACAAACCCUUAACUGUCCUCCAUUUACCUGAGCCUCCCCGUUUUUCUUGGACCCUGGCAGGCAGAGCUAACUUUCUCUCUGAGCUACUUUGCAGGGUCAAAACUUCAAGGCUGUCAACACUGAGAGCAGCCUGUCUUCAGCUAUUCUCACAGCCAAUGAUUCUCUGGCUUUUGAUCUCUCCAAGAGAGGGCAACUAUUACCAGCUAAAUUAGAGAGCAGUUAAUUACCUCCUAGCCCUCCUAAUUCAUUCAAAGAGCUCUUUUUGGUUUCCUUGACUUAACAACAAUCAGAAAAAGAAAUCCUGAAAUGGAAUCUACAAAGCUUUUUCUAAAACAGCCCUUAUUCCCAUGGGAGAUACCCUGUCAAUUAUCUUUUUAGACCAGAUCCCAUGUCCCAUAUUGUUUACUCAUUAGACAAAUACUUUCAUAUGCAAAUAGCUAAUACUCGUUAAGCACACUUGUUAGGUAUCAGAGGUUGUGGCUAAGCACUUACAUCAUCUCAUUUAAUAUAUACAACUUAAAAAGGUAGCAAUAAUAAGAUGAUACUAACAACUGCUGAGUGUUGCUAGGUGCCAGGUACUUUUCUAAUCUCUUUUUAUUUGUGACAAAGUUAAUUUAAGGAUUAAAUGAGAUAAAAUACGGGAAGUGCUAAGAAUAGGGCCUGACACUGGAAGAAGUGCUCAAAAAGUGUUAACUAAUAUUUAAUCCUCACAAAGGUCCUGUGUGAUAAAUAUUAUUGUUAUUCUUUCUAUUGUAAAAAUAAAGGUAAGUCAAGUGAGCUUUAGAAGGCUUAAAUUCCUUGCCCUAGAUUGGUGUGUACCAGAAUCACCUGGAGGGCUUAACAAAGAUCGCUGACCUUGAGGUUCUGAUACAGCGGGUCUGGGGUGGGGAGUGGGGAAUGUUUCUAGUCAGUUCCUAGGGAGGCUCAUGCGGCUCAGGGAUCACACUGCUCUGGCCAAGGGUCCAGAAAGACUUCACCCCAGUGGCCCACCCUCUUCACUACUCAACACUGCCUCUUUAACGAAGCUUAAAGCGUCUAAAAAUCAAGCUAAGGUCAGAACUUAGACAACUUUAAACAGAUUACAAGAGUUUUAAAAAGACAGUAUAAAAUGAUUGACUCACACUACCUCCUGGAAACUCCUGAACCAAAUAGAAUAUCCAUUCUUCCAAGGACCAUGCCAUUCAUAAAUCCUCAUUCGUAAGGGUCUUUGGCUCAUUUCCAGCCACCCUAUAUGACAGCAAAGAUGAGUACUAUCUUGUCUAAAUAUGCAUGUAGAUGGGCCUUUCCAUGCAAAUUAUGGCUUGUUCUUAAAGAGAAAGGAUACAUACCAUCUUCAUGAUAAGAAUUUUCUUUAGAGAGGAAAGGAGAGCUAUGAGAUUGAGAGGAAUUUGUAAAGGCUUUAAUUAGAAUACCACUGUUUUUGUUCUUUUAAAAAAUGUGAAACAAUUCUGGCAAAAUGUUGAGAUUUGUUAGAGCUGGUUGAUAAGUACCCAGGUGUUUAUUACAUUAUUCUCUACAACUUUUCUGAAUCUUUGGAUUACUUUCUAAAUAUAUGUGUUUAAAAGACUCUGUGCCUACUCAUUAGUAUAGAAAUCACAUGGAGGAAAAAUAGACACAGCUCCACUCCUACAGGAGUCACUGCCAGUGAAGAAGGUGGCCCGGAAUCAAACAAUCGUAGAUAGUUAGAGAGUUACAAACUGCAAUUUGUUUCACAAAGCUAAGGUUUUAGAGUGCAAGGAAAGCUUUUAACUCUGGAAUCUGAGCUAGACUCCGGAGUCAGGGAAUGUGGAAAUCCAGCUCUGAGCUUAAGGACUUGUAAAUGUUAACUAGGAGCAGGUGGCCUGGAGCACAGAGAAAAUCAUAGAGAGUCCGAGUGUUGAGAAGGAGCAAGGAGUCUGCAAAGGAAUGAAAGCAUAUCUGUGGGUCUGUGAAGGCGGGAGCAAAUAAAAGGAUGCCAUAAGACAAAGCUUAUGAAGUAGGCAAGGGCCAGACCAUGCAGAACCACAUUUCGGAUUCUGGACUUGAUCACUGCCUUAGCAGAAUGUAAUGAGCCUUCAUGGUCACCUGCAAAUUGGCUGAAACUAAAGUGGUAUGCUGGCAACCUGGCUUUCCAGAUUUAAAAAAUAAAUAAACAAAAAAGUCCUGGUUGACAUGCUUGCUGAUUCCUGUGGAUACUCCCACAUGUCUGAUUUCUUUUUUUUUUUCCUUUUCUUUUUUUAUUAUUUUCCCCAACACACUUUUUUCCCCCACUAUACAGCAUGGGGACCCAGUUACACAUACAUGUAUACAUCACUGUCCUGCUGCAUUUUAAGUAUCUAACAGAGUUCUCAGUGCUACACAGCAGGAUCUCAUUUUUUUUUUUUUUUUUGUCUUUUUGCGUUUUCUAGGGCCGCACCCACGGCAUAUGGAGGUUCCCAGGCUAGGGGUCUAAUUGGAGCUGUAGCUGCCAAGGCCAGGGCCACAGCAACACAGGAUCCGAGCCGCGUCUACACCACAGCUCAUGGCAACGUAGGAUCCUUAACCCAAUGAGCGAGGCCAGGAAUUGGGAAUCCGCAACCUCGUGGUUCCUAGUCGGAUUCGUUAACCACUGAGCCAGACGGGAACU